rnacentral:tRNA from 1 species
GCUGUCGUAGCUCAGUGGUAGAGCGCAUCCUUGGUAAGGCUGAGGUCGUGAGUUCAAUCCUCACCGACAGCACCA